AAUGUUCUCUACAAUAUUCUUUAAGAAAUGACAUAGUCUUAGAAAAAAAAUCUCAGUAUAAUCUGUGUCAAUACAUCUUUACUCAGAGGUGGAGCGAGAUGGACAGUUUUGGAGCAGCAGUUUAGAGAAGUUCCACUGUAUUACUGAUAUUCAUAAUUAACAUACAUCUUUCCUUUUAAAGAUUUAAAUUCCCCCUUAUACAUGAAGCCUUGUAUGAUUAGUUAGUUUUCAAAAGAUUGGAAGUGAACAAAGAAAGAUGAAAUGUUGAGAUAAACAAUACAUCUAAUCUGGACAUUAAUCAGUCAGGCUUCCAUAGUGCGGUGCAUGUUAUACCUCCCAAAACCCAGUACGGAUAGGAAUCUGUAAUUAAAAAAUGAUAAGUAAUUGGAGAAAACUAAUCUAAGCAGAGAAAUUCUGAAACCUUUGUUCUGAAGGCACUGUGGGAGCUAAAUCUCUAAUAACAGCGGUGGAAACUCAUGGGCUGUUCUGAAAAUUUAGAUUUGUGAGGAGAAAUUGUACAGAUAGCUGAGCUGAGCAAUUGCCAAUGAAAUAAAAAAAAUUAAAAAACUUCCCCAUGGAAACUGAGGGAAGAUCAGCUUGCACUUAAUAGGUCAAGACUGAAGUAUAGAAAUUGAACAGAAGUUUAGCAUAAAGUUAAGUUUUAGCAAAGUGAAAAUAGAACCAUGUUUGUAGGGUCAUGUGUAUGUUGAGACUCUGGCAGUUGAAAUGUGUCUGUGCAGUAACUUAGCUUGCUUCUCAUAUUCCAUUACAGCAAACAGAAAUAGGCAGAUAGGAAAAGUGAUCACUGGGCAAAAGACAACUUCAGUUG